GAAUAUUGCACAAUGGGCGAAAGCCUGAUGCAGCAACGCCGCGUGAGGGACGAAGGCCUUCGGGUCGUAAACCUCUUUUCUGGGGGACGAGUAAGGACGGUACUCCAGGAAUAAGUCUCGGCUAACUACGUGCCAGCAGCCGCGGUAAAACGUAGGAGGCGAGCGUUAUCCGGAUUUACUGGGCGUAAAGCGUACGCAGGUGGCUUCGUUAGUCGGACAUGAAAGCUCCUGGCUUAACUGGGAGAGGUUGUUCGAUACUGCGGGGCUUGAGGUUGGGAGAGGGACGUGGAAUUCCCGGUGUAGUGGUGGAAUGCGUAGAUAUCGGGAGGAACACCAGUGGCGCAAGCGGCGUCCUGGCCCACACCUGACGCUGAGGUACGAAAGCGUGGGUAGCAAACAG
rnacentral:rRNA from 1 species